rnacentral:rRNA from 1 species
CUACGGAGGGUGCAAGCGUUACUCGGAAUCACUGGGCGUAAAGCGCGCGCAGGCGGCUAUUUAAGUUGGAUGUGAAAGCCUACGGCUCAACCGUAGAACUGCAUCCAAAACUAUUUAGCUAGAGUGUGGGAGAGGAAGAUGGAAUUAGUUGUGUAGGGGUAAAAUCCGUAGAGAUAACUAGGAAUACCAAAAGCGAAGGCAAUCUUCUGGAACACUUCUGACGCUGAGGCGCGAAAGCGUGGGGAGCAAACAGGAUUAGAUACCCUAGUAGUCC